rnacentral:rRNA from 1 species
AUGGACAGGUUGGCUCGGAAUUUUAUUUGGUGCGCUCAUGACAACGACAAUGCCAGUGCGGGGCGCUCCCUAGUAAAUUGGAAAUUGGUAUGCUCCCCCAAAAUCUUGGGUGGACUUGGGGUGACUGACCUGGAGCGCUUUGGACGUGCCUUGCGGCUACGAUGGCCUUGGUACGAGUGGGCGGACCCUGACCGGCCAUGGGUGGGCACCGACCUGCCCUGCAGUGAAUCUGACAUGGCGCUAUUCCGGGCCUCCACGACUAUCACUAUCGGAGAUGGAAAGCGUGCCAAUUUCUGA